UACGUAGGGAGCAAGCGUUGUUCGGAUUUACUGGGCGUAAAGGGCGCGUAGGCGGCAAAUCAAGUCAGCUGUGAAAUCUCUGAGCUUAACUCAGAACUGUCAGCUGAUACUGCUUUGCUAGAGUGCGGAAGGGGCAAUCGGAAUUCUUGGUGUAGCGGUGAAAUGCGUAGAUAUCAAGAGGAACACCUGAGGUGAAGACGGGUUGCUGGGCCGACACUGACGCUGAGUGCGCGAAAGCCAGGGGAGCAAA
rnacentral:rRNA from 1 species